rnacentral:misc_RNA from 1 species
AUUUUGCUCCGCCAUUUUUAUUAUGAUUACCGGGCAAAUAAGUAUACCCGUCUGCAUGAUUUACUGAAGUGAAUUUUUCCCAAGGAUUUCCCAGAUAAAGUUCUGUGGAUUUCCACAGAAAACAGGGCCUAAAUUCUUUUUAGGAACAACCGUGUGAGCAUCAGUGAAGAUCCGCUGCGCUGAAUUUUCAUAGAAAAAGUGCCAUCAGCAAUAUAUAUGCCAAAUGCAUCUGAAAAUGGCAUAUGCUGAUGAGCCAACUAGUAUAGAAUGCAUCAACAGAUCAGACCUGUUCCCAAAAAAGAAACUGGUUCGGGAGGAUGAAUCCCUCCAGAUCCCCAUUCCCCUUCUUCCCGGGGAAGCCGGGGAGUUCCUGGGAAGGACCACUGAUGGGGUCAUUGCUCUGUCCAAUUACAGACUCCUGGUCACGUUCAAGAAGGCCUUUGUAAAUGUGCCCAUCGGAAUGAUCGAUUCCGUCGAACGGACUGAUAUCUUCUUCCUGAACAUCUACUGCAAGGAUGCUACAGUAGCAAGGUGUGGCUUUAAUGACAAUGAUGCCUGUCAGUCAUGGUACCUCCGUAUCAUGAGCAAGCUGACCGCUCCCAAACAGCUCAAUGAGUUCUUUGCCUUCACUUUUCACGCCUGGUGCCAAGACCAUAACUCUGGUUCUCAGGAUCCAGAAAACUGCCAUCAGUUGUGCCAAAAAGAUGAGACCUACACAUACAGUUUUGGGAAAGAGAUCGAGAGACAGAAAUUUGAUCUGAAGAGUGGGAAGGCGUGGCGCAUCACCUAUGUCAACGAAGACUUCAGUCUGUGUCCCACGUACCCUCGGAAUCACAUCGUACCGGCCAGCAUCACUGAUGACGAGAUCAAGAGUUCGGCUGGCUUCCGGUCUCUCAAGAGGUUCCCGUCCGUGGUGUGGAGAAACCAAAGAAAUGGUGCAGUGCUUGUUAGGUGCAGUCAGCCGGAGAGCGGGUUCUUUAACUGGCGGAACACAGAGGACGAGAACCUGAUGAAGGCUUUCUCCGAGGCUUGUGAACAGAACCCUGGGAAGAGUCAGAAAAAUCCCAACAUCAGUGAGGACACCAGCGGCUCAGAAUCCGGCUCACAAAGUGAAGAAGACCUUGAUGGAUCAGACAAAAGGGUCAUGAUAGUGGACUGUAGGUCCUACAGAGCGUCCAUGGCAAACCGACUGAAAGGAGGGGGAGUGGAGUGUAAUAUUAUCCUACAUGUGAUAUUCAGUUCAUGAAUUUGGACAACAUCCAUGCCAUAAGGAAAGCGUUCACUCAGUUACGGCAGCACUGUAGUACUGCAUCCGACCAACUCAACUGGCUCUCGAGUCUGGAGGGAACUAAAUGGAUGACAUACUUAGCCAACCUGCUGCGGACGGCAUGUUUGGUGGUGAAUGUAAUGAGUAAGGAGCGGCGCUCGGUGGUGGUGCAUUGCUCGGAUGGGUGGGAUAGGACCUCUCAGAUUGUGUCCUUGGCGGAGUUGAUGAUGGACCCCUACUACAGAACUGUAGAGGGCUUUCAAGUGCUGGUGGAGAGGGAGUGGUUAGAAUUCGGUCACAAGUUUGCAGAUAGAUGUGGCAAUGGAGUGAACUCCGAAGACCCCAAUGAACGGUCUCCAGUGUUUCUCCAGUGGCUGGACUGUGUAUAUCAGCUUUUCAAACAGUUCCCAUGUGCAUUCCAGUUUAAUGAAGCAUAUCUGAUUAAAAUGGUUCAACAUACGUAUUCCCACUUGUUUGGAACUUUUUUGUGUAACACGGCUCGGGAGAGGUUACAGGGAGAGUUAUCGGUACAAACCUCGUCUCUGUGGAGUCUGCUUCAUCCUAGUAAUUCUCAGUUCUACAAUCAUUUGUAUUCACCCAGCAAGGAGCAACAGGUAUUAAGACCAAAAUUUGAUGUCAGAAAUUUAACUCUUUGGACAUCAGUUUACUUUUCCAAUUACACCUGUUCAACCGACCUGAAAGACUUAGGAUGUGAUCAACAGGAAAUGCAACAAGAAACCAACACCUGUAAUCUACAGAAAACUCGAUCCUGUGAGAAUCUGGCAGGGCCCAGUCAGGAGCCCAUUAGUAGUCCCAGUCGUAGGAAAAGCGACCCUAGCAUUAUAUUAGAUAACUUUGACCCUUCUAGCUUGACAAAAGACUGUGAUAAGACUUCUAGCAAUGUUUGUGUGUCCAAUGGAACUGUACAUUCUGAAGAUGGCCAUAAAGACAGUGAAUUAAAGAACGGAACAUCUCCGGAAAAAGAGCAAAAUGGAGAUGUUUCUGCUAGUAAUGGAGUUGUUUCAAAUGGCCAUUGUAGUGAUUUAGAAGAGGAGAAUUUAACAAAUGGAAAUCAAGAUAGCAAAGAUGAUACUGAGCCAGAGAGUAAUGAUGAAAAUAAUCUAGUUAAUGGACAAUGUAAUGGAAAUUCUCAUCACAAUGGGGAUACCGAUACAACAAGUCCGGCCAUUGAAUGUUCAACAGAUACUAUCACGGAUGGGGAGAGCAAACCUGAGGAGAAGAUAGAUCAUCAACUUAAUGGCACCAGGCCUGCACAUAAAUUAAGUCUAGAAAAAUUAGUGACUCUUGAGAAAAGUGCCAGCAUUAGCACCAGCACUAGUGAUAUCUCUAAUUCCAAUGUGGACUUGAGACUCCCUGUGGACAGUAUGUACAGUAUUCAUCAGUAUCUGAGUCGGUCCACGCCUUUACGGCUGACCUGCAGUUCCAAUGGAUUCAGUCAGUCAAAGAGUCCGCUCAAAAGUUUGCCAACCACUCCAGUCAAUUCCCAGAGUUCCACUUGUCCACCAACACCAGCAACUGACAAGUCUUCUGAAUCCCAGUUUUGUCACAAGGUGGGGCGCCUCAGCAGACAUCUUGAUUCUGAUGGACUCACAACCUUUAAUGAUCCCGUUCAACAAGGCAUACAGAAGAUUAAAGAGGAUUAUGAAAGAGAAAUUAAAGUGAUCAGAAAUCACUUGGCUGCAGCCAAUGCAGCUCUCCUUCAGCAUGCUUCAGCCUGCAGUGGUGGAACUAGGUGUAUUUUGGAUAAAGAUGAUAUGCUUUUAUCCCCGGAUGUCAAUGGCGAUUUCAACUCUCUUGGAAGUAAUGCUGCAUCGGAUGUCAGCUGGGAGAACAUUGACGAAAACGAGUCCAAGAUGAUUCGCUGGGUUCCAGACCACGCGGUCACUCACUGUGCUGAGUGCGAGUCAGGCUUUGGGUUUCUAGUCAGAAAACAUCACUGCAGGAACUGUGGAAACAUUUUUUGCGGGAAUUGCUCAGAGAACUUCAGCAUGAUUCCUCACCAGAACUUGAUGACUCCGGAGAGAGUCUGUAAUCGCUGCUUCAACAACCUGCAGAGGAUUUCCAAACAUGUGCGAGCAUCUAACGGGGUGGUCGACGAACGACCGCUCGCCUAUGCAGCUUCAAACUAGGGCUUCUAAACAAUUUUGGUUUAUUGUUAAAUGUGUGCAUAAAUGAUAUGAUGAAAAUUGAUAUGUCAAACAUAUAUUUUCUCAUGCUGAAUGACUUACGUGUGUUAUUUAAUGCCAAUUAUGUACAAGUCUGAUCAUCUGUUCAUUGUCAUUGUUACAUGUUGUUUGCUCUUGUGUUUUGUCUUCUUUCGCUCUAUGUUCAAAUUUCAUUUGCAGUUUACAGCAAAGUAGUAUGGUGGAAUAAAAAAUAUACAGUGGUUACAGAUUACAGUUAUACAUCAUUGUUAAGAAAAAAUAAAUAUCAGUGAUGAACUCUCAAUUAUGGUUAGGAAAUGUAAGAAAUUUAGUGUACAGUUAUAUUUAUAUUAACAGCUAUUUUGAAAAAUUCAAACCUAAAAUGAUUUUUGGCUCAAAGAACAUUUUUCCAUGUUCUUGGAUUUGUUAAUACUGGAAGUAAACAAAUCUCUUAAAAUUCUCCAGAUCAGAAUCCAAUUCUCCUGAAACAGAGAUUUUUAUGAUCUUUUCCCCUACAGAUGACGAAACGUAUUGAAUAUGUCGGGGUAAUAUGUACCGGUAUUAUAGUGGAUGUUUUAAAGGAAUUGUUUUAAGAUUGGAAUGAUCUCAAAUACUGUUGAUUUUUGUUAAUUUCUUAUUCUUAAUACUCAGAAGAAAACAACAUUGUUGACAUGUGCUGUUUAGUCAUAAGGUGAUAUUUCAAUGGUGGAAAAAUAAAAUACCAUAUUGGU